AACCUUUAAGUUUGGGGUAGCUGUGCUUAGUACAAACGAGGGCACCUGAUGAUUGAAAAAAAACAAAAAGAAAAAGAAAAGAAAAGAUGAAAGUUUGAAAAAUCAAAUUAAAAUGAAUAAAAGAAAAAUAAUCACCAGGGCACUUGAAAGAAGGAGAAGUCUGCGGAUAUUGAGAAUAAAGACAAAUCCAAAAGUUGAAUCCUCGAUAAAGUUAAUCCAUCAGAAUGAGCAUAGUUAAGAUAAUGAUCGUAUUAACUAUGAACCUUAGCCUACUUUUAC
rnacentral:lncRNA from 1 species